GUGGUUAUUUAAUUGAUUCCAUUGCUGGCCUGGUCAAUUUUAUUGGUGUCUAAGAAAAGCAACGGGGGGACCCCCCAUCCAAUCUUAACACUUUUCUGGCCAAUUGGAUUAGUUCAAAUCUUGAAUGAUGGCAGCUUAGUGUUUUAAACACUACAUAUGCCUUCUUUCAUGCCUAGUCAAUAUCCUGUCAGAAAUCAUAGGAGGUUUGUUAUGAUAUCCACAAGACUUGCUAUGGGGAUUGAUGUGGGUUUGUCUUGGUGCAUAUUAGAUGCUUUACGGUAUAUUUUGGAUAUGUUGCUUUAUUGUGAUAUCCGCAAAGAUAGCAUUUUUCAGAUAUGACUGUAUGAAAAUGAAG
rnacentral:lncRNA from 1 species